rnacentral:tRNA from 1 species
UCUGUAGCUCAGCAGGUAGAGCAUCGGACUGAAAAUCCGUGUGUCGCCAGUUCAACUCUGGCCGG